GACGAGCCACACGAACGUUAUUCGGAAUUACUGGGCUUAAAGGGUGCGUAGGUGGCGCCGUAAGUCAGGUGUGAAAUUUCGGAGCUUAACUCCGAAACUGCAUUUGAUACUGCGGUGCUUGAGGACUGGAGAGGAGACUGGAAUUUACGGUGUAGCAGUGAAAUGCGUAGAGAUCGUAAGGAAGACCAGUGGCGAAGGCGGGUCUCUGGACAGUUCCUGACACUGAGGCACGAAGGCCAGGGGAGCAAACGGG
rnacentral:rRNA from 1 species